AGCUUUAGGAAUAGAUCUAAGGUUAUACCUGCCCAAUGUUAAUAUCAAUGGCCGCGGUACUUUGACCGUGCUAAGGUAGCACAAUCAAUUGGCUCUUAAUUGGGGUCAGGAAUGAAUGGAGUUACGGAGUUCGACUGUCUCUUAAUUAAUUACUUGAAGUUACUAUGUAGGUGAAAAAGCCUAUAGUUAGAAAAAGGACGAGAAGACCCUUAGAGUUUUGCUUAAUAUGACAAUAGAAAAUUUUUCAUAAUGGUUUAGUUGGGGCAACAUAGGAGCAGAAGAAGAAAUCUCCUUAAUACUAUUAACCGAUAUUAUUAAAAUUGAAUAAACUACCUUAGGGAUAACAGCAUAAUUUAAAAAAUAAGUUUGUGACCUCGAUGUUGGACUAGGAAACUUAAAGGCUAGCCGUCUUUAAGGGAAGUUCUGUUCGAACUAAUUAUUCCU
rnacentral:rRNA from 1 species